GUCUCUCCCUCUGUAGAUGUCAGUUCUCACAUCUUUCUAUAGGGAGAUGGGUGUCUCAGAAGUUACCUGGCUUCCCCUGUAUCCCUGCACAGGGUGACCUAAGAUGCCCAAGCUUCAGAGCCCUCAGCCUUGUCCUUUCCUGGACAUAAUCCUGGAGAUAAUUGCUACUCUCACAAGCACUCAAGUAGUAUAGGGAUGCCCAAAUCACUUGGAUGAUGCUUCAGAGUCUCAUGUUAAUGGAGAAGCCAUGCAGCGGCGGAACAUAAUCAACGUUUCACAAAGGCAUCUUCACUGGCAGCUCAGGACACCUAGAUCCUGUAGGAAGGGGAAAGUCUCAGUCCGGGUCUGCUGAAUCUAACAGUUCUCAGGCGGAACUGGAGACCUGGGUGCCACCCACAGCUGGGAAGUCAGUAAUCUUAGGGGGUCAGUGAAAGACAGCAGCACUUGGUGCCUCAGCCCUGCUGGUGUCUACGAUGUAAAGUAAGACAAGCUCAGGCUUUGCCAGGGCACUCUCCUGUCCCUGUUAUUGAUGGCACACAACCUAAGAACUCCAGUGGGGGUGAAGUGCAAUGAUGGUACUGAAAUCUAAAAAUUCCUGUGUCUCCUUCCCCACUCAGAGUGAGACAGAGGGUCCCCAGCACAAAGACUACAGUCUUGUCACUUCCUGACUAUGUUAUAUUAACCAUCAUGAACCCUUGAUCUGGAUCUGCUCAUUAGGAACCCAUAGAAGCAGGAUAGGCCUAUUGCUUCUCAGAAGCUCCCAGUUCCUGAUUGACCCUGGCAGGCUCAAGCCCAUCACACCCAGAAAGCUCCCCAGACCCUUCCCUGAACUCACUGCAUCUUCCCCAGGACCAUUGAUUUCUCCAUUCUUUCCAGUAAGACCUAGGGUCAGCUUCCUUCUGCCUUGCUCUGGUAUCUCCACAAAAUCUAUUCUCUUUCUCAAGUAGAUGCCUAAGUCUUUACACAAUGUCUAUAGGCAAACUGUACAGGCAUUGAACGAACAUCCUAAAGGCACUUAGUGUUGCUACAACACUAUUGACAUCACAGGGGAUUCCAAGACCUCUGCUCUCCAGGAUACAAUAGAAUUUCCAGAGAAGGGACUCCUGAUGUCACAAGGAACAGCCUUUGCCUCCUGGCUAAUAAAUUCUCCCUGAACUGAACAGAAGCUGAGAUUUCUUUCCAGGAAUCUCUCCUGUGACACAGUUUCUCAGGUUGCUCCUUGGAGACCUCAUUGCUCAAUGUGACUGCUCAAGCAGUUGUCUAGGAAUUGUCCCCCUUGUCAAUACCUCCAUACAAAACUUGGAGUCCACUGCUCUAGGCUAACCUAAUGGAAUCACAGAAAACUGGAGACUGGAUAAGAGGGAAUGUGCAAUGAACAAGCUGCAUGGAGAAGUUUUACUUCAACAAUACCAGGGUACCAGUGUGCACAGGAUGAAGCAGACCAGCCUUGGGAACAUCACCACCAUCACAGCUUUUAUGUCCGACAAG